UACAGAGGUCUCAAGCGUUGUUCGGAUUCAUUGGGCGUAAAGGGUGCGUAGGCGGCGCGGUAAGUCGGGUGUGAAAUCUCGGGGCUUAACUCCGAAACUGCAUUCGAUACUGCCGUGCUUGAGGACUGGAGAGGAGACUGGAAUUUACGGUGUAGCGGUGAAAUGCGUAGAUAUCGUAAGGAAGACCAGUGGCGAAGGCGGGUCUCUGGACAGUUCCUGACGCUGGAGGCACGGAAGGUCAGGGGAGCAAACGGG
rnacentral:rRNA from 1 species